rnacentral:lncRNA from 1 species
CCAGGAUGAGUGCUCUAGAAUGCCUCAGUUGAGGCAUCUACUCCCUUGUAUUCACAAAUCCUUUAAACCAAAUGAGCAUGGGAAAGAGGAUAAUGAAUGUUCCUCUUAGCCUUUAUCAUAGUGUCGCAAAUGAGGCUUGGCCAGUUGAUGACUUGGGCUCAAGCCCAAUUGUCUUAGUUUAGCAUUUCUUUUACUUGUAUUAGACAUGUGUAAAUUGUGUUAGGCAUGUGGGACUUUUAGUCCUAUAAAUAGACAUGCCAACACUUAUUGUAAUUACUUUUGAGAUAUUGGAUUAAAUUUUCUGUUGAGAGAACUCCAUAUUUUAAUCCCCUUGAAAGUCAAGGCUGAAGAAUCCAAGGGAUUCCCUCAGCCACCUUCCACUCACAUUUCCAUUCUCCUUAUUUCCCACAUCAGAUUCUCACUCUUCCACGUAAUCACUUCUCCACCAUUUUGCAUCCUCCGCUUGCCUUGUUUAUUCCAUCUAUUCCACGUGAGCCUAUUUCUCGAAGCCUCCAAAGCACAUCAACAUUUCUCUCUCGCCAACAUUCUAGAGAGCCUGAUAGCUUUCGCAUUUAUCUCCUUCGCAGAGCAUCAUCCACCGAACCACAUCAUCACCUCCGCGUCUCAGAUCAGCACCGUAAGUUGAUCUCAUCUUCUCCGAGCCAUUUCUUUCCCCUUUGGCCGAUCGUUUUUGACCUUUUCCUUCCAACUCACCGAUUGAAAUCAGAUUCGACUCCUUUACACUGAUUAAAUCUUCAUCUCCGACCUUUCUACUGUUUAAUCAGUCAUUCUCACUAAUUAAACUAGCCUAAACCGCCAGAUCUAGAUCAUACAUCAAACAAACCUCCGACCUAGGGUUUGUAGAUCUUCCGCUGCCUCACUUCCUAAACCUUGCGUUCAACUCCAUUUUCUCGGAUUCCUUG